GAGGACCCCUAAACUCUGUUUCUAUAUGUAACUUCUGAGUAAAACCAUAAAUAAAUCAAAACUUUCAACAACGGAUCUCUUGGUUCUGGCAUCGAUGAAGAACGCAGCAAAAUGCGAUAAGUAAUGUGAAUUGCAGAAUUCAGUGAAUCAUCGAAUCUUUGAACGCACAUUGCGCCCGCCAGUAUUCUGGCGGGCAUGCCUGUUCGAGCGUCAUUUCAACCCUCAAGCACAGCUUGGUGUUGGGACUCGCGUUAAUUCGCGUUCCUCAAAUUGAUUGGCGGUCACGUCGAGCUUCCAUAGCGUAGUAGUAAAACCCUCGUUACUGGUAAUCGUCGCGGCCACGCCGUUAAACCCCAACUUCUGAAUGUUGACCUCGGAUCAGGUAGGAAUACCCGCUGAACUUAAGCAUAUCAAUAAGGCGGAGGA
rnacentral:rRNA from 1 species